rnacentral:rRNA from 1 species
GGAGUGCAAGCGUUAUCCGGAAUUAUUGGGCGUAAAGCGUCCGCAGGUGGCUUUUCAAGUCUGUUGUCAAAGCGCGGGGCUUAACUCCGUACAGGCAAUGGAAACUGUGAAGCUAGAGUAUGGUAGGGGUAGAGGGAAUUCCCGGUGUAGCGGUGAAAUGCGUAGAGAUCCGGCGGAACACCGGUGGCGAAAGCGGUCUCCUGGGCCGAGGGCCGACGCUGAGGCGCGAGAGCGUGGGGAGCGAACCGG